AUUUAACUCUGGCGGCAGGCCUAACACAUGCAAGUCGAGCGGAUGAAGGGAGCUUGCUCCUGGAUUCAGCGGCGGACGGGUGAGUAAUGCCUAGGAAUCUGCCUGGUAGUGGGGGAUAACGUCCGGAAACGGGCGCUAAUACCGCAUACGUCCUGAGGGAGAAAGUGGGGGAUCUUCGGACCUCACGCUAUCAGAUGAGCCUAGGUCGGAUUAGCUAGUUGGUGGGGUAAAGGCCUACCAAGGCGACGAUCCGUAACUGGUCUGAGAGGAUGAUCAGUCACACUGGAACUGAGACACGGUCCAGACUCCUACGGGAGGCAGCAGUGGGGAAUAUUGGACAAUGGGCGAAAGCCUGAUCCAGCCAUGCCGCGUGUGUGAAGAAGGUCUUCGGAUUGUAAAGCACUUUAAGUUGGGAGGAAGGGCAGUAAGUUAAUACCUUGCUGUUUUGACGUUACCAACAGAAUAAGCACCGGCUAACUUCGUG
rnacentral:rRNA from 1 species